rnacentral:rRNA from 1 species
UGGGCGAAAGCCUGAUGCAGCAACGCCGCGUGAGUGAUGAAGGCCUUCGGGUUGUAAAGCUCUGUCUUUGCUGACGAACAAAUGACGGUAAGCAAGGAGGAAGCCACGGCUAACUACGUGCCAGCAGCCGCGGUAAUACGUAGGGGGCAAGCGUUAUCCGGAACUACUGGGUGUAAAGGGAGAGUAGGCGGCAUGGUAAGUUAGAUGUGAAAGCCCGAGGCUUAACCUCGGGAUUGCAUUUAAAACUAUCAAGCUAGAGUACAGGAGAGGUAAGUGGAAUUCCUAGUGUAGCGGUGAAAUGCGUAGAUAUUAGGAAGAACACCAGUGGCGAAGGCGACUUACUGGACUGAAACUGACGCUGAGGCUCGAAAGCGUGGGGAGCGAACAGGAUUAGAUACCCUGGUAGUCCACGCUGUAAACGAUGAGUGCUAGGUGUCGGGGGGGAACCCUCGGUGCCGCAGCUAACGCAAUAAGCACUCCACCUGGGGAGU